rnacentral:snRNA from 1 species
GGCAACAACGAGUGUGUCUGCCUUCCACACCCCUCUCCCCAAAACUCCAAGCUUAAUUUGGCCGAUCUGGCCACGUGGGUGUCUGUUUUCUCUCUCAUGGCUCCAUGUGUCUCCUUAAUGCUUCUGUAACUUCGUCGGAGGUGAUACUCUUUCCAGAGACUGGGGGCCUUUCUUCUGGAAACAAUAUGCGAGUAGCUGAGCUUCCCUGUAGGAGCCUCCAGCUAUGUUCUCAGGGACCAUCUGCGGGAGUACAUGGGGAGAAUUGCCGGAGAGAAGAGAGCCUUUAAUGUUCAUACAGCUACAGAGGCAGUGUGUGAUAAU